CACGUAGGGGGCGAGCGUUGUCCGGAUUCAUUGGGCGUAAAGGGCGCGCAGGCGGCCCGGAAAGUCGGAUGUGAAAACUCGAGGCUCAACCUCGAGCGUGCACCCGAUACUGCCGGGCUUGAGGCAGGUAGGGGAGAUCGGAAUUCCUGGUGUAGCGGUGAAAUGCGCAGAUAUCAGGAGGAACACCGGUGGCGAAGGCGGAUCUCUGGGCCUGUCCUGACGCUGAGGUGCGAAAGCGUGGGGAGCAAACAGG
rnacentral:rRNA from 1 species